AUUCAAAAUUAAACUAUAUUUGGUGAUAAGACUAAAAUUAAAGGAAUUAGUUUGUGUUUGUGUUUUUGUUGGAAAUUUGAUUGCUGGACAAAUUAAAUAAACAUGCCUAUUCCCAACUGGAAAAUGGAGAUUAUUGAGGAGAUAUUCGGCCUGUUUGACCCCUGCCUUAUAGACUCAAUUAUUCUAUCACAUCGUCAAGAACAAAUUUGGUUGAGCUUUCUGCCUAUCGAUGCCCGCUUCGGGUUGAGGGGCAGCUUCGGUCGCCGAGGCAUGGCCCAGAGGCAGCUUUACCUCCGGGUCGGAAAGUUAAAAAAAUUUUUGCUGUCCUAUGGUAUCA